GCCAUUCAGGAAUGGUGGAAGCAGCCUUGAAGGAACGGGGUUCAACCUGAGAAGAAGCAACAAACUGUACAGAGGUAGAGUAAGCCUUCCUUUUGGAGAUACUAUUCUUAGACCUAAUGGUCAUGGGAUGAAGAUUCGGCGGUGAAAGAGGUAAGACCACACAUAGAUACUCAGGCUGGAAGUCAGGAUCAACAGGGAGAGGGGACUGUGUAGAUGACAGAAUGGGCAGAGGCGGAGACAGUGUAGGCUGUGAGGAGGAACUAUGAGACAGUGCAGACUGAGAAGAGGAACUUGAAGACAGUGUAGGCUGAGAUGCAGCCGCUGGAGUAGGAGGAGAAAUAAGAG
rnacentral:lncRNA from 1 species